rnacentral:piRNA from 1 species
UCUAUUGGUGCGGGAAGUUCCAGUUGC